rnacentral:lncRNA from 11 species
CGCUGAAGAACGUCGUGGAUUGCGCAUGCGUAGCCAGGAAAAAGUUUUGAGUAGUUCUGCAUUGACUAGGUUCUGCCGGCCCAUUUAUGUUGGAUAAGUG